AGAGUUUGAUCCUGGCUCAGGAUAAACGCUGGCGGCAUGCCUAACACAUGCAAGUCGAACGGGGUUUAUAUAACAGAACUCUCCGGAGGGAAGUUAUAUAAACCUAGUGGCGGACGGGUGAGUAACGCGUGGGGAACCUGCCCUGUACCGGGGGACAACAGCCAGAAAUGGCUGCUAAUACCGCAUAAUCCUGCGCUGCCGCAUGGCAGCGCAGGGAAAACUCCGGUGGUACAGGAUGGUCCCGCGUCUGAUUAGCUUGUUGGCGGGGUAACGGCCCACCAAGGCAACGAUCAGUAGCCGGCUUGAGAGAGCGGACGGCCACAUUGGGACUGAGACACGGCCCAGACUCCUGCGGGAGGCAGCAGUGGGGAAUAUUGCACAAUGGGGGGAACCCUGAUGCAGCAAUGCCGCGUGGGUGAAGAAGUACCCCGGUAUGUAAAGCCCUGUCAGCAGGGAAGAAAAUGACGGUACCUGACUAAAAAGCCCCGGCUAACUACGUGCCAACAGCCGCGGUAAUACGUAGGGGGCGAGCGUUAUCCGGAUUUACUGGGUGUAAAGGGAGC
rnacentral:rRNA from 1 species